UAUCCAUGAUGUGGGCAUUGCACUAAAAGUGAUUCGAAGUGAUCCCAUGCUUCAUGAAAGGAUUCAAUAUCCUUUUGAUAAAAUUUGAAAAUUUUAGCCCUUAAUUC
rfam:Ricinus communis cultivar Hale ctg_1100012360278, whole genome shotgun sequence.